AUUGAACGCUGGCGGCAGGCCUAACACAUGCAAGUCGAACGAGUGGCGGACGGGUGAGUAAUGUCUGGGAAACUGCCCGAUGGAGGGGGAUCACUACCGGACACGGUAGCUAAUACCGCAUCCCAUCGGCUGUGCCCAGAGGGGAUUAGCUAGUUGGUGGGGUAACGGCUGACCGAGGCGACUAUCCGUAGCUGGUCUGAGAGGAUGACCAGCAACACGGGAACUGAGACACGGUCCAGAAUCCUACGGGAGGAAGCAGUGGGGAAUAUGGGACAAUGGGCGCAAGCCUGAUGCAGCCAGGCCGCGUGUAUGAAGAAGGCCUUCGGGUUGUAAAGUACUUUCAGCGAGGAGGCGUUACUCGCAGAAGAAGCACCGGCUAACUCCGUGCCAGCAGCCGCGGUAAUAC
rnacentral:rRNA from 1 species